GGAAGUGUAAGUCGUGACAACGGUGCUCCGCCUGGUGAACCACCGGAGGAUCACAACAGAGAGUACGCCUACAACCCCCUGUGAACAACCACAACUGUGCUCGCCGGGUAGGGUGCCCCGGACCCUCCCGGCCUCCCGCCCCCCCGGGCGGGUCGGCGCCCGCCGGAGGAUAACCAAACUCUGAUUAACGACGUUUCUUCUGAGUGGUACAAGCAAAUAAUCAAAACUUUUAACAACGGAUCUCUUGGUUCUGGCAUCGAUGAAGAACGCAGCGAAAUGCGAUAAGUAAUGUGAAUUGCAGAAUUCAGUGAAUCAUCGAAUCUUUGAACGCACAUUGCGCCCGCCAGCAUUCUGGCGGGCAUGCCUGUUCGAGCGUCAUUUCAACCCUCAAGCUCUGCUUGGUGUUGGGGCCCUACAGCUGAUGUAGGCCCUCAAAGGUAGUGGCGGACCCUCCCGGAGCCUCCUUUGCGUAGUAACUUUACGUCUCGCACUGGGAUCCGGAGGGACUCUUGCCGUAAAACCCCCCAAUUUUCCAAAGUGACCUCGGAUCAGGUAGAACCGGUA
rnacentral:rRNA from 1 species